rnacentral:lncRNA from 1 species
GAAGAUAUAGAUAUAAGAUAGAAGAUAGAAGAUAAGACAAGAUAAGCAAUACCUUUUCUAAAAGAAAAUAUUCCUGAAAUCUGGGAAAUUCUGCAGUGUUAGUUUUAAAAGCAAAUAUUUCUCAAUGCAAGCUCAUCCACCCGUCCUGGAAAGUGUACAUCCUCUGACAUGAUGUCUUGUGAUUUCUCGAUGCGCUUAGAUAAUGACUGACCUGACAGCACCCUGCAGGCACAAGAUUUUACCUUGACUGGGAUGAGUUGCCAUCACGCACUGUUAGUGAGAGAAAAUCAGAGAACACCAGGCCUGCUGGUACGGACACAGCUGGCACAGGUCAAAUCCAGGCACCAUGGAUUUCAUAAGUGCAAGAACUGAUCUCUGUAAGCAGUGAAAAGAAGUGCCUGGAGCUGGAAAAGGAGUUCAGGUUCAGGGCUGGGCAGUGUUUUUAAUUUAGUUUUGUGGGGGGGGUUUUUUGUUGUUAUUUUUAAGAGAGUAGAAUCAAUGGAACUGUAUUUCAUUUUUUCAGAAAGUGGAAACUGCAGUAAGCAAUGUCCCACUUGAAGAAGAUGGUUUUGGAAAUGUAAGAUGAAGAUGUGUGGACCAAGUGAUGUUUAUUGGUUACUAAUUAACCAAUUUGGGCAGAGUUUUGAAAGGUGGUUUCAAGUUUAGAAGCGUAAAUAGCUAAUCUGUGCCAUACCUUUCUUUUGUCUUUCUUUACAGUUUAGAGCCCUUUGUAAUAUGUGAUGAAACCUGCAGCACCCUUCCUUACCAUGAAUGCAGAUCAGCAGACCGUGACAGUUGUGGACUGUGCAGCAAGAGGUGAGUCCUACAGGCUGCUCCCUGCCAGCGCUCUUCUCUGCUCAGCACCGAAAGGAAAAGAACAGUGUGUGAAAUUCUCUGAAACAUCUUCAGCUUUGCCUUCCAAAGAUUCACAAGAGAUUCAGGCAGAGUGACAGUGAAAAAUAUUGAUGUAUCAAUAGCCUGGGACCCUGCUUGCUCUGUUGCCCAAAGCAUGAGAGAUCCCAACAGGAUGCUCCCCUGCUCUUAGUCCAG